AGAGUUUGAUCCUGGCUCAGGAUGAACGCUGGCGGCGUGCUUAACACAUGCAAGUCGAACGAAGCACUUUAUUCGAAUUCUUCGGAAGGAAGAUUUAGUGACUGAGUGGCGGACGGGUGAGUAACGCGUGGGCAACCUGCCUCAUACAGGGGGAUAACAGUUGGAAACGACUGCUAAUACCGCAUAAGCGCACAGUACCGCAUGGUACAGUGUGAAAAACUCCGGUGGUAUGAGAUGGGCCCGCGUCUGAUUAGCCAGUUGGCGGGGUAACGGCCCACCAAAGCGACGAUCAGUAGCCGACCUGAGAGGGUGACCGGCCACAUUGGGACUGAGACACGGCCCAAACUCCUACGGGAGGCAGCAGUGGGGAAUAUUGCACAAUGGGGGAAACCCUGAUGCAGCGACGCCGCGUGAGCGAAGAAGUAUUUCGGUAUGUAAAGCUCUAUCAGCAGGGAAGAAGAAUGACGGCACCUGACUAAGAAGCACCGGCUAAAUACGUGCCAGCAGCCGCGGUAAUACGUAUGGUGCAAGCGUUAUCCGGAUUUACUGGGUGUAAAGGGAGCGCAGGCGGAAGGCUAAGUCUGAUGUGAAAGCCCGGGGCUCAACCCCGGUACUGCAUUGGAAACUGGUCAUCUAGAGUGUCGGAGGGGUAAGUGGAAUUCCUAGUGUAGCGGUGAAAUGCGUAGAUAUUAGGAGGAACACCAGUGGCGAAGGCGGCUUACUGGACGAUUACUGACGCUGAGGCUCGAAAGCGUGGGGAGCAAACAGGAUUAGAUACCCUGGUAGUCCACGCCGUAAAC
rnacentral:rRNA from 1 species